UGCUUCAGAAAGACCUGGAAUUAGCAGGUACAAUUGUGUCAAAGAAAACAACAAGUAAUGCACUCAGCCUCCAUGGCCCGUGUGCACGCUCACCACGCAAGACUCCAUUGCUGAAUAAAUAGCAUGUUGAAGCUCGUCUAAAGUUUGCUG